rnacentral:rRNA from 1 species
ACUUUAUUUGCGCAGCAUAGGUGGGAGGCAUUGAGUUUAUUCUUGCGGGAAUUUAGGAGCCAUCAGUGAGAUACCACUCUGGUAAUGUUAGAUUUCUAACUUUGUAUCAUGAUCUGGUCAAAGAACAGUUUCAGGCGGGCAGUUUGACUGGGGCGGUCGCCUCCCAAAUGGUAACGGAGGCGUACAAAGGUUUCCUCUGAACGUGUAGAAAUCGUAUCUAGGGUGUAAAGGCAUAAGGAAGCUUGACUGUGAGACCUACAAGUCGAGCAGGGACGAAAGUCGGUCUUAGUGAUCUGACGGUGCUGAGUGGAAAGGCCGUCACUCAACGGAUAAAAGUUACUCUAGGGAUAACAGGCUGAA